rnacentral:snRNA from 1 species
GAUCUUACCUGGUGGUCCUGAAGGUGGUUUUCCCAGGGCGAGGCUUCAUUGCACUCCGAAUGUGCUGACCACGCUGAGUUCCCCAAAUGUGGGAAACGUGACUGCAUAAUUUAUGGGGGACUAUGUUCAUACUCUCUCC